UUUCGUUUAAAAAAAACUAAUAUAAAAUCUAUUUUACUAUUAAUUAUCCAAUAUAUAAUAGUAGUCCAUUACCAAUACAAAGACAAUACCACCUACAUUUCUCAAGAAGAGUAGCAUAAGAACUUUUCAUAACUCAAAUGUCAUAAUACAAAGACACCACUUCAUAAAUACAUGUCAUGGUAUCUACACAUGAAAACAAAAGAAUCACAAGAUAUCUUCAAACUCCUCCUUGCCAACCAUUCCCAUUAUAAACAACGUUGUCCCUGAAAUUGAAAAAAAAAAAAAUGAAUGAAAGCAAGGCUUCAUGUCGAUAACAUCAUAUUAUGCAUGAAAGGGUUUGAGAAAAAUCUAGUAUCAUCUUGAAAGAUGGCAGAAAUUGAAGUGCUACAUAUCAUGAGUGCGAGAAAUUCUAUUUUUUCAGUGUAUUCACCAUUCAAUAAGAACUUUUUUACUCACUGCAUGGGAAAAUUGUCACUAAUCUUCUCCAUAUGUACAAACAAUUUUCAAUAGAUGGCCUUUUGAUUUUACUUAUUCUCUCUAUGAAUUUAAACAAUUAAGUACUUAAUAAGGCAGUCGAUACCUUAAGUAGCUCAAACAUUCUAAAUAUAAGCACUAACGCCUUACCUCUAUGAUGAAUAUGUCCAAAAGAGAUGAGUUUUUCCAAGUGCCAUUGCAAACUUACAAAAAAUUCAAUCACCUUGAAUAACAUAGAAAUUGAGACUUUCUAGAGGGUGCAGAACAAAGAAAAGGGUAAUGAAGUUCAUAAUAGCACCUAAAAUGAUUACAAUUCAAUUUUAGAGGGGUAUGCUUGCUGUACAAAAAAAGUCUUUUAACAAAGUUGUCAAUAUAUGUAUCUAUUCAACAUCAACAAAGCAAAUAUACAAUAAAUAUAUGUAGUAAAUUUCAUAAGCAAUAGAAAAAAAGUCACAGAAACUUACCACACUAGCAGUAGGAUGAUCAGAUGAAACAGUCUUAUGGCAUGUAGCAACUCAAAGAUUGACUUUCUUUUACUGAUUAAUCAAAGUUCACCUCUACUAUUCUCAAAUUAACACAACUCUUCAUGUCUAAGCUACAAUUAAUAAGAUCAAAUUACUCAAAUGAUUUGCAUCCGUGGAAAUUCAGCUACUCUGCAUCAAAAACUUAUUGAUGAAACCAACUAAUGAAUGGUUUAAAAGUAAUUUACACAAAAUCCUCUAAAUUCAUAAAAGAACGGAAAGAGACAGGAGACGUACCGAUUCCCUGAGAGGCAAAACUAGAGCAUAAGAGAUACAGAUUUCUGGGGAAGAGAGCAGGAUAGCCGUGAAGAAGUGGGUACAAUACCGACGAUUACAGUCGUUGGUCGACGGCUAUGAACUAGAUCUAUGAAGAAGAGGGGCCGUAGGCGCUAGGAUUUUGUUCUUCAUGGGAAACACUAAAGUAAAGAAAGAGAAUUAAAAAGAAAAUGAAUCUAAAGAAGGGUUUCUUACUUUCUCAAUUUUUAUUUUCUUAAUUUUAGAGGUUUGAUUUAGCAAUAAUAAAAAUAUCGCCGCAGGAGCGCUACUAAUUGGGGCGACAUAGUCGCCUCUAAAAUACCUCUAGUGGCAACUCCACACUAAUCGCCUCAAAAAACGUUUGAGCCAAGAAUAUUUUCGGAGGGAAAGAAAAAAUGAGGUUUAUUUGUGGAGAUAUAUUUUUAGUCGCCACUAAAACACAACUUUAGUGGUGGAUAAAAAGGUCGCCACUAAUUUCAAUUUUGCGACAAGUUUUGAUGUCGCCACUAAAAGUUGCCACAUAAAACCUAAUUUCUUAUAGUGCCUCAAUACCA
rnacentral:lncRNA from 1 species